GACGAACGCUGGCGGUAUGCUUAAUACAUGCAAGUCGAACGAAGUCCAAGGGAAGCUUGCUUCCCUGAAGACUUAGUAGCGGACGGGUGAGUAACGCGUGAGUAACCUGCCUUGGAGAGGGGGAUAACACAGAGAAAUCUGUGCUAAUACCGCAUAAUGUAUAUUUGGCGCAUGACAGAUAUACCAAGGGUCAGCCGCUCCAAGAUGGACUCGCGUCCGAUUAGGUAGUUGGCGAGGUAACGGCUCACCAAGCCGACGAUCGGUAGCCGGACUGAGAGGUCGAUCGGCCACAUUGGGACUGAGACGCGGCCCAGACUCCUACGGGAGGCAGCAGUAGGGAAUAUUGCGCAAUGGGGGCAACCCUGACGCAGCAAUACCGCGUGAAGGAUGAAGGUUUUCGGAUUGUAAACUUCAGCAAGCAGGGAAGAAAAAAAUGACGGUACCUGAACAAAAGCCACGGCUAACUACGUGCCAGCCGCCGCGGUAAAAC
rnacentral:rRNA from 1 species